AUGUUAAUAUUAGAACAAAUAAGUGAUAGUGACCAUGAAUAUAAUUUUCACACAAAGUGUGAAAGAAGGUUUUUUCUACUCUACAGGGGUAGGCUUUCAUUUGGGGCAGAUUUCCAUUUGAAGUGGUGGACAGAAGGUAAACUUCAGGUUCAACACGAUCAUCUGGAGCUUAAAAGUAAACCAAUAAUUGUGACAUAUGGGUGCAAGCUUGUUUGAGCCAGUGUGCAGCGAGCAGAAAACUGUGGGCUGUUAAUGCAAGUACGUGUACAUUUUAAUGUCUAUGUGAGUGGCCAGGCAAGUAAUUUGCAGCUUUGUGUGUUUUCCUUAGCACAUAAAUACAGUCACACUUGAGACAGCAGAGCAAAGCUAAAUCCCUGCCAGCAGGUGCUGUCUUCUUGGGAGAAAUACCAUAUACUGCUAAAAGAUACUUGCACUCUAAAUAUAAUGUUUAAAUGCAGGGAAAUGUCUGCUUGUUGCAUAUCUUUGGUUAUCAUUCUUUUGUGUUUGGAGACUGGAUAGGAAUUGAAAUUGCUAUUUGGAUAAUCAUAGCUUUCUUUGGAUAGUAAUUCAGGAUUCAUGCUAUUAACCCCCUGCAUCUCUUUGGAUGUACAACAUUAAAAGCUCCUUGCCAGAUGCGGUUAACUAUUGGACAAAUGGGCUAACAAAACGAAUGCUUCCAAACAAAUACUGAGAUUAAACUGCGCAGAAAGACAUGUUAAGAUUUCAUUUUCCUUCUAUGUAUUCUUUUGAAUAGUUUAUAACUUUUCCAAGUGAUCACCUUUCACCUUGAAUUUUUGCAUAUCUGAACUCAACCAGAAAACAAAACAAAACAAAAAAAAUACAGCUAUGGAAAAUGUCAGGAAAACACUUCAGACAUAGGCAUGCUAGGAAAGGAGCUGAGAAAGCAUUUCUUCCAUUAUUGCUCUUGGGUUUUUAUUUAUUUAAACAAUGCUAUUUCCUAGGCAACUUUUGUUGGAUGCCUGAAAAUUGACAAGUGUAUAAAUACUAGUUCAGCAAAAUGCAUUUAAUCCCACACUUAUUCAGAAAACCAUUUAGAUGUGUUGAAAUCCCACUUUUGUUUCAAUAUAUGUUUUAAGUACCUAUAUCUACACACUUCUCUGAAUAAAGAUUGAUUAUUACAUUGAGUACUUAGAGCG
rnacentral:lncRNA from 1 species